rnacentral:miRNA from 1 species
GUGACAGUCAUCAUUUAAUAAGA